CCCCUCUCAGGGUCGCACCUGGAGAAUUUCCAAUAUUCUUCCAGUCUUGAAUAUGGGAGGAAGAGUCAAGCAGAGGCCUACCCAUUCCAUUCCUAGCUUGGGCAGUGGCUAGCGAGUGGCAGGCAAUCUGCUGCAAGU
rfam:Ornithorhynchus anatinus chromosome 4, whole genome shotgun sequence.